rnacentral:rRNA from 1 species
CGCUGACCAGCUAGCCCCCCCCCCCCAAAAACAACAAACCAACAUUACUACCCACAAAACACCUGCUUUAAUAAAGCAAACCAUUUUUCCACCUUAGUAAGGGCGACAGAAAAGGAACAACGGAGCAAUAGAGAAAGUACCGCAAGGGAAAGCUGAAAGAGAAAUGAAAAAACCCUAAAAAGCCCAAAAAAGCAGAGAUCCACCCUCGUACCUUUUGCAUCAUGAUUUAGCUAGAAACCCCCAAGCAAAGAGCACUUUAGUUUGUUUUCCCGAAACUAAGUGAGCUACUCCAAGGCAGCCUCCUAACUGGGCUAACCCGUCUCUGUGGCAAAAGAGUGGGAAGACCUUUGAGUAGCGGUGAAACACCAACCGAACUUAGUUAUAGCUGGUUGCCUGAGAAAUGAAUAGAAGUUCAGCCCCUCGGCUUCUCACUUCGCCUAGAGUUAUUUUCCCUCCAGACACCCCGAGAAACCAAGAGAGUUAGUCAGAGGGGGUACAGCUCCUCUGACAAAAGACACAACUUUUCCAGGUGGGUAAAGAUCAUAAUUUUUAAAGGUAUAUACCCCGGUGGGCUUGAAAGCAGCCAUCCCAAUAGAAAGCGUUAAAGCUCAGGAGAUCCUUAAUCCCUGCUAAUCCCGACAAUAUAUUCUUAGCCCCCUAACCCUAUCAGGCCGCCCCAUGCCCCCAUGGGAGCGACCAUGCUAAAAUGAGUAAUAUGAGAGGACACCCUCUCUCCCUGCACAAGUGUAAAUCGGAACGAACCCCUCACCGAAAAUUAACGGACCCAAACAAAGAGGGUACUGAACAUUGAAUAAGAUAACAAGAAAAACAUCCAAUACGCUUAACCGUUGACCCUACACUGGCGUGCCCCCAGGGAAAGACCAAAAGAAAAAGAAGGAACUCGGCAAACACACACGCCUCGCCUGUUUACCAAAAACAUCGCCUCUUGCAAAAUUAAUGAAUAAGAGGUCCUGCCUGCCCGGUGACAUUAUGUUUAACGGCCGCGGUAUUCUAACCGUGCAAAGGUAGCGCAAUCACUUGUCCUUUAAAUGAGGACCUGUAUGAAUGGCAUGACGAGGGCUAAGCUGUCUCCUUUUUCCAGUCAAUGAACUUGAUCUCCCCGUGCAGAAGCGGGGAUGCACCCAUAAGACGAGAAGACCCUGUGGAGCUUUAGACGCUAAGACAGAUCUGAUUAAAUUUGCUCAAGAACAAAGAGCAAAAACUAAAUUCGAACCCUGCCUGGAUGUCUUUGGUUGGGGCGACCGCGGAGCAACACAAAACCUCCACGAGGAACGGAAAAACCACUUCCUAAAACAAGAGCUACUGCUCGAGUUAACAGAAUUUCUGACCGCUAAGAUCCGGCACUGCCGAUCAACGGACCGAGUUACCCCAGGGAUAACAGCGCAAUCCCCUUCCAGAGACCGUAUCACCAAGGGGGUUUACGACCUCGAUGUUGGAUCAGGACAUCCUAGUGGUGCAGCCGCUACUAAGGGUUCGUUUGUUCAACGAUUAAAGUCCUACGUGAUCUGAGUUCAGACCGGAGUAAUCCAGGUCAGUUUCUAUCUAUGAUAUGCUUCUUCCUAGUACGAAAGGACCGGAGGAAGAGGGCCCAUGCUUAAAGCACGCCCUACCCUUACCUAAUGAAAACAACUAAAAUAGACAAGAGGACAUACUCUCCUCCGCCGUAUACAACGGCCGU